rnacentral:rRNA from 1 species
UACGUAGGGGGCAAGCGUUAUCCGGAUUUACUGGGUGUAAAGGGAGCGCAGGCGGUAUGGCAAGUCAGAUGUGAAAACCCAGGGCCCAACCCUGGGACUGCAUUUGAAACUGCCAUACUGGAGUGCCGGAGAGGUAAGUGGAAUUCCUAGUGUAGCGGUGAAAUGCAUAGAUAUCACGAAGAACUCCGAUUGCGAAGGCAGCUUACCAGUCUGCGACUGACGCUCAGGCACGAAAGUGUGGGUAUCGAACAGG